GGUGAUCACUAUUAUUGGGUCUAAAGGGUCCGUAGCCGGUUUAAUCAGUCUUCUGGGAAAUCUAAUCGCUUAACUAUUAGGCUUCCAGGGGAUACUGUUUAGACUUGGGACCGGGAGAGGUAAGAGGUACUGCAGGGGUAGGAGUGAAAUCUUGUAAUCCCUGUGAGACCACCAGUGGCGAAGGCGUCUUACCAGAACGGGUCCGACGGUGAGGGACGAAAGCUGGGGGCACGAACCGGAUUAGAUACCCGGGUAGUCCCAGCUGUAAACGAUGCUCGUUAGGUGUCAGGAACGGUGCGACUGUUUCUGGUGCCGAAGGGAAGCCGUGAAACGAGCCACCUGGGAAGUACGGCCGCAAGGCUGAAACUUAAAGGAAUUGGCGGGGGAGCACUACAACGGGUGGAGCCUGCGGUUUAAUUGGACUCAACGCCGGAAAACUCACCGGGGGCGACAGCAAUAUGUAGGUCAGGUUAAAGGUCUUACCUGAAUCGCUGAGAGGAGGUGCAUGGCCGUCGUCAGUUCGUACUGUGAAGCAUCCUGUUAAGUCAGGCAACGAGCAAGACCCGUGCCCACUGUUACCAGCAUAUCCUUUAUGGAUGAUGGGGACUCUGUGGGGACCGCUGCUGCUAAAGCAGAGGAAGGUGCGGGCUACGGUAGGUCAGUAUGCCCCGAAUCUCCCGGGCUACACGCGGGCUACAAUGGUUGGGACAAUGGGUAUCUACUCCGAAAGGAGUUGGCAAUCUCUUAAACCCAAUCGUAGUUCGAAUUGAGGGCUGUAACUCGCCCUCAUGAAGCUGGAAUCCGUAGUAAUCGCGUUUCAACAUAGCGCGGUG
rnacentral:rRNA from 1 species